rnacentral:misc_RNA from 1 species
GAUGAAGAACGUAGCGAAAUGCGAUAAGUAAUGUGAAUUGCAGAAUUCAGUGAAUCAUCGAAUCUUUGAACGCACCUUGCACCCUUUGGCAUUCCGAAGGGUAUGCUCGUUUGAGUGUCAUUGUACUCUCACACUUCCAACCUUUGGAUUGGGAGCAGUGGACUUGGGUGUUGCUGCUUACUGUGGCUCACCUCAAAUCGAUUCGUGCACCUCUUGGUUGGACAUAGUACGGCGUGAUAAGUGUCUUCGCCGGCACCUCAGUAGAGGGUGGCUGAUCAGGAGCUCUGUGCUUCAAACCGUCCUCGGACAACAACUGACAACUUGACCUCAAAUCGAGUAGGACUACCCGCUGAACUUAAGCAUAUCAAUAAGCGGAGGA